CGUCUAUAUACGUAUAGCAUAUCAAUAAGCGGAGGAAAAGAAACUAACAAGGAUUCCCUUAGUAACGGCGAGUGAAGCGGGAAGAGCUCAAAUUUGAAAUCUUCAAGGUUCUACCUUGACGAAUUGUAGUUUAAAGAAGUGUUUUCUGUUAGAGGAGUAGCAAAAGUUCCUUGGAAUAGGGACAUCAUAGAGGGUGAGAAUCCCGUAUUUGGUUACUUCUUUCUAGCUUUGUGAUACACUUUCAAAGAGUCGGAUUGUUUGGGAAUGCAGUCCAAAAUGGGUGGUAAAUUUCAUCUAAAGCUAAAUAUUGGCGAGAGACCGAUAGCGAACAAGUACCGUGAGGGAAAGAUGAAAAGAACUUUGAAAAGAGAGUUAAACAGUACGUGAAAUUGUCAAAAGGGAAGCGUUUGACACCAGUGUUGUUUUUCCGAAAAUCAAUUAAGAGUGGCUUGAUUUUGUGUUGUAUUGACCUUAUCAGCUUUCUUCACUCUUUUUCGAGUCUUUCUUAAUGCACUUUUCGGUUAACAAGUCAACAUCAAUUUCUUUUGUUGUAAAAGGGUAUUUGGAAGGUGGCUUUCUUUUCGGAGAAAGUGUUUAUAGCCUUAUGCCUCUACAAUCGGAGAGAUUGAGGUCUGCAGCGUAGAUCCUUCGGGGCUAGAUACACUUGUGCUAAGUUAUAGCUUUUCAUAGACAACUUGUUGACUAUGUUUAGUCAUGUAGCUUACCCGCUUGUGCUAUUUUACCUACGCUUAGGAUGUUGAGUCAUCACACAUCUCU
rnacentral:rRNA from 1 species